CAAGCGGCGGAGCAUGCGGAUUAAUUCGAUGCAACGCGAAGAACCUUACCUGGGUUUGACAUAUGCCGGUAGCAGCCAGAGAUGGUUGUGCCUUUUGGGCCGGUUUACAGGUGGUGCAUGGCUGUCGUCAGCUCGUGUCGUGAGAUGUUGGGUUAAGUCCCGCAACGAGCGCAACCCUUGUCCUAUGUUGCCAGCGGUUCGGCCGGGAACUCAUAGGAGACUGCCGGGGUCAACUCGGAGGAAGGUGGGGAUGACGUCAAGUCAUCAUGCCCCUUAUGUCCAGGGCUUCACGCAUGCUACAAUGGCUGGUACAGAGGAUUGCGAUGCCGUNNNGUGGAGCGAAUCCCUUAAAGCCAGUCUCAGUUCGGAUUGGGGUCUGCAACUCGACCCCAUGAAGUCGGAGUCGCUAGUAAUCGCAGAUCAGCAUUGCUGCGGUGAAUACGUUCCCGGGCCUUGUACACACCGCCCGUCAAGUCAUGAAAGUCGGUAACACCCGAAGCCGGUGNNNNNNNNUUUUUGGGGGGAGCUGUCUAAGGUGGGAUCGGUGAUUAAAAGUAAGUCGUAACAAGGUAGCC
rnacentral:rRNA from 1 species